rnacentral:rRNA from 1 species
AACGAACGCUGGCGGCAGGCUUAACACAUGCAAGUCGAGCGCCCCGCAAGGGGAGCGGCAGACGGGUGAGUAACGCGUGGGAACGUACCUUUUGGUUCGGAACAACUCCGGGAAACUGGAGCUAAUACCGGAUAAGCCCUAACGGGGAAAGAUUUAUCGCCGAAAGAUCGGCCCGCGUCUGAUUAGCUAGUUGGUUAGGUAACGGCUCACCAAGGCGACGAUCAGUAGCUGGUCUGAGAGGAUGAUCAGCCACACUGGGACUGAGACACGGCCCAGACUCCUACGGGAGGCAGCAGUGGGGAAUAUUGGACAAUGGGCGCAAGCCUGAUCCAGCCAUGCCGCGUGAGUGAUGAAGGCCUUAGGGUUGUAAAGCUCUUUUGUCCGGGAAGAUAAUGACUGUACCGGAAGAAUAAGCCCCGGCUAACUUCGUG